UCGCUCCUACCGAUUGAGUGAUCCGGUGAAUAAUUCGGACUGCAGCAGCAUUCAGUUCCUGGGUACUGCAGCGGAAAGUUUAGUGAACCUUAUCACUUAGAGGAAGGAG
rnacentral:rRNA from 1 species